rnacentral:rRNA from 1 species
UUGACCUCGGAUCAAGGUAG